UUUUUUUUUUUUUUUUUGAUGUGGCACACACGGACUUUGCCUAUGCCUUUCUCAGACAUAGGCAUAGGCCCUCCUUACCCAAAAGCACUGCACAGUAUUAGUUACGUGUUUUAAUUCCAGUUUGCCUAUGGCCAAUUAGUGAUAAUAGGCAACAUUGAUGUUUUAAACAAACAUAAUGAAAUUCAAGCUUAUCCUGUAAAUAUACUUAACAACACCACAUAACUGUGUUUGUUGUUUUGUUUUUUAAGGCCUUGAAAAGAACUAGAGACCUAAUCUCAGAGUUACAUGAUGAACAUGAAGUAAUUGAGAAGCUUCCUGGUUGAGCCAUAACUUCCUGUCUGAGAAAAAGAACGUGCACAGCCCUGUUUGGCUUGGAACAGCCCAAACAUUAAUGAGUUGAACAUUUUUAUCACUAGUAAAGCAGGUUUACUAUUAAAACUGACAUAGCAUCCAGCUAUAAUAAAAACAGUCUACAAAACACUUGUUAACCUUGUUGCUACAACAACCCUUGAGGUAACUUGACUGGAGUGUCUCCCAACCUUAGGAACGCCUGUGGACCAGCCUGCUGUAGUGCUGGUUCUCUGCAGUGGAGACGGUGGCUGCUGUGUGUGUGAAGUGGCAGAACCAUUAAGCUCUUCACACUUGGACAUCACUCUUCCUCCUCAAAUUGAAUUGCGUUCCUUUAGUACAGGAGGCAGAAGUGUGGAUGGCAGGCUGAUGUUAUCCCCUGUAUCGUUCUUUAGUGGCACACACGUCCAAGACAGAGGGUGAGGACUGCAUUAGCUAGUGAAUAUUUGUGGGAGUAGGGCAAGAGGGUUCAGUAGGUAAAAACCCUUCUUGUGCAGACUUCUAUACCUGAGCUUGAUCCCCAAAACCCACAUGAAGGUAGGAAGAAACGUGUCCUCUGACCUCCACAUUUGUCUACUCACACAGCAUACACAGAAUAGUAAGAAGUUGUGUCUCUUCCUCCUUCCCAUCCGUUCAUCUCAGACAGACUUUGUUUCCAUCAAAAUCAAGACAGUCUGAAAUUUAGAAGUUCACAACAGGAGUCUGAAAGUCUUCAGUGAAUAGGCAUGUGAGUAUUUGUAAAAAUCCUUUUAACUGAUCGUUUUGGUGCAAAGUAGCAAAAAGGUUUAUGCUACUUUGUACAUGUUAGGACUAUAGGAUUUGCAUUCUUUUUUUACUUUUUAUUAGGUAUUUUCCUCAUUUACAUUUCCAAUGCUAUCCCAAAAGUCCUCUAUACCCUCCCACCCGCCCACUCCCCCUUUUUGGCCCUGGCGUUCCCCUGUACUGGGGCAUAUAAAGUUUGCGUGUCCAAUGGGCCUCUCUUUCCAGUGAUGGCCGACUAGGCCAUCUUUUGAUACAUAUGCAGCUAGAGACAAGAGCUCCGGGGUAGGAUUUGCAUUCUUAAACAUACUAACAGAAGGCAAGAUCAUUGAGUCCAAAUUCACACAGAUGCUCAGGGGUAAAUCAGUAAUAGAUCAAGCUUGCUUCCCCAGGAAGUUUGGGAGUUGAAAGUUACCAUAACAAUUAACAAUGUGAAUAGAAUUUGAGGUUAUUUUGUCCCUCUUUGCCUCAUAAUACUGUUAAUUACGUCAAGAAGUUCUAAAAUUGGGAAAAAAAAUGUGAUCCAGAGGAAAGCACAGGUGCUCUGAACACCUGACCCAGGAAGGACAUUGCGAGGCCAUUGUUCAAGGAUUCAUUCCAUUAGGGAGUGAUUUAGAGUGAUCUUGAGGUCUUAGAGUGCACCUUGUGCAUGUGAACAAGGAAGAAACCCAGACAUUACUUACUAAGCAGCCACGUCAGUGCCGAGCAGAAGAUUGACAGCCACGAGCUAUCAUAAAGUCUGGGUGGCUGGCGGCAAGUGCCACAGGUGACUGUACUAGGAGCGUUCAGGAGUGUACCCACGAGGGUGGGGCGCAUGGCAGUGUGGUACGCUCCGUUUGCACCAGCAGCCUCUGCGUGUGAAGAUGCUGGCUUUGGUUCAUUUACAUGGCUGGUUUGCUAGAGAACUCCCUGAGACUCUAGUGGUGCCUACGUGUUUGAUGGUAACAGAUGGACAGUUUUCAGCCAGUUGCCUAACAGCAGUUUGCUAUGAAGCCACACUUGAACAGCGGCAGGAGGAUUAUGCCCUCUGCUGUUAAAUGGCAUGUUUCCACGGGAGAUCUUGUCUCUGUUGGCUUGUCAUUAGCAGCAUUUAAUCAUAGUGCAUCAUGUAAAUACCAUGUUUAUGCACAUGACUCACUUUUUAGGUAGUUAUUUGUAUAAAAGUGUUUGGGCUACAGUGAGAAGGUGAGGACUGAGAAGAGCCCAUUUUGCCCUUGGAAUAAAGCAUUUUAAUAGGAAUGUCUAGCUUGCCCCUUUCUGUUAAAAGGGGUUAAAAAAAAAGUGUUUUGCCUAAGAACCCAACUUUCUUCAUUCCAUCUUUUGUUUUUGUUUUUCGAGACAAGGUUUCUCUGUGUAACAGCUCUGGCUGUCCAGGAGCUCACUCUGUAGAUGAGGCUGGCUUAGAUGGAGCUCACUAGAGAUCUGUCUGCCUCUCUUUCCUGAGUGCUGGGAUCCAAGACGAGUGUCGCCGUGCCCGACCUCAUUCUCACUUUUUAGCCACGCUCUUGUGUGUGGCAGUUCAGAACACUCUUGGUCAACCAUGAACACAUUUUGUCAGGAAUUGAAUUUUAUAGAUAUGAGUGCGUGCUUUCACGUGCAACAGAAUCGGCGGCCUGCAGAGCACUACUUUCUCGAAAUGCUCUGUAGUAGUUACAGGAGGAUCUUUUUUAUUACAGUCUACCUGAGGGUUUGAUUUGGUUGGUUGGUUGAUUGGUUGUUUUUUGAGUCAGGGUUUUUCUGUGUAGCCUUGGCUGUCCUAGAACUUGCCUUGAAUUUACAGAGAUCCGCCUGCUUCUGCCUCCCCAAGUGCUGGGAUUAAAGGGGUGUGCCACCACCACCACCACCAUAGGCUACCAUUGUAAGGGAAGCAAUAGGCACAGAAAAAAAUACUUUUCUCAAAAUGAAAAUCACUGAAAAAAGUGUUAGAUUUUAACUUUUAAGUAAAGCAUUCUACACACGACAUACCCUGUUACUCUUUUUAAAUAAAACCAAAUAUAGGUGAAUAAAGUUGAACUUCUGAGAACUAAAUUUUGGUGCUUGGAAUUGCUAACAGUUUACAGGGCGCAAUUUUAUUUGCCAGAAUGUCAACAUUUUCUACCCUGCUUCCACUUUUUUACAGUCUGUUCCUUAUCCCCUGUAAUUAAAGAAACCCUGAGGAAAAAAACAUUACCAGAAUAUGUAAUUGUAGUAUUUGUUAAGUACAGCAAUGCCCAGAGUCGAGAGCGAUGUUACCAUUAAAAGUAAGUAUUUUGUGUCC
rnacentral:lncRNA from 1 species